rnacentral:rRNA from 1 species
GGACCCGCACAAGCGGUGGAGCAUGUGGUUUAAUUCGAUGCAACGCGAAAAACCUUACCUACUCUUGACAUACUUGGAAGCUCUUGUAAUGAGAGUGUGCCUUUUGGAGCCAAGAUACAGGUGCUGCAUGGCUGUCGUCAGCUCGUGUCGUGAGAUGUUCCGUUAAGUCGGAUAACGAGCGCAACCCUUACCCUUAUUUGCCAGCGAUUCGGUCGGGAACUAUAAGGGGACUGCCGGUGCAUAAGCCGGAGGAAGGUGGGGAUGACGUCAAGUCCUCAUGGCCCUUAUGUCCAGGGCUACACACGUGCUACAAUGGGAGGUACAAAGGGUUGCCAACUCGCGAGAGUGAGCUAAUCCCAAAAACCUUCCUCAGUACGGAUUGGAGUCUGCAACUCGACUCCAUGAAGGUGGAAUC